AAGAAAUUAGUAAAAAAAAAUUACGUUAGUUUGUCAAGCUAAAAUUACUUUAGUGUUUCUUG
rnacentral:tRNA from 2 species